rnacentral:lncRNA from 1 species
CUUUUUUUGGCAUGAGUUAGUUAAAAUUAAGUUUGUAAUUAAAGAGGAAGAAAAAAUUAAGAUUGCACUUUCAUCUUUCAUGUUUAUUAAACAUACCAAGGAAACCUGUCUUGGAAAUUAGUGAAAUUAAUUUAAAAGAGUAACCGUUUGACCUAAUGAAAAGCUAUGUUCACAGUAAUAUAUACAAAUAGACAGUAAUAUAUACAAAUAUAUUAUUUGUCUGUGUAUUUGCAUACUUCAUACAACUGAGUAUGUUGUUGUCAUGUAGAUGUUACUUUAACUUUCUUUUCUUCUAGUGUUCAUGCUCUCGGUGAUAUCACUAUAGCUCAUAGUUGGAUGGUAAAUGCUGACAAAUAAUUUAUAUACAUUACAUCUUUAUUAUUAACUUUCUUUAAAUGUAAAUUGAAGGAUUAAUUUUCAUUAAGCAUGCACAUAUAGAGAAGAAGGUUUACUGCAGAUUUUACAAAGAAUUACCAACAAUAAAAUAAUUUAGAUUUAUGUAAUAUCCAUAUUCUUAUGUAUAGAAUAAGAGUAAUCAGAAUUCACUUUCUGCUCUCUACAGCAGUACUUAUUAAUGCCCAAUUCCUGAAGGAAAAGCAUAUUUAUCAAACUCGUAAUUUUCCAUGUUUCCCAAUGGCAACACCAACUGGCUACUGCAUAACUUCCAGCACGUCACAGUCUAUGACAUAUGUGGUGGCCAAGACUCAGCUGGAAGACAGUAGAAAUUUAUACAGCAAACCAAGGGCCAAGAAAUCUUUGGAUAACAAAGCUCAGAGGCUGCAAGUUAUAUAAAAUCCUAUAUGAGAAGCCUCCUGUAGUUGUGCAACACAGGUGAAAAGAAAUCCCUGAAAGAAUGCACGGUAGCUGAGAAUGCAAGAAAUGGGGCUGUCUUCAAUAACAAAAUGUCUGUUCUUUCUUAAAUUCUGUAUUUGAUUCUGUGCCAAUAAACCUCCAAUAAACUGGUAAUUUUUAUAUCA